AUCUAAAAAAAAGCUUCUAAUUCAGAAAAAAAAAAUCUCUCAAAUUUUUUCAGGUUUUGGUUGUUACUCAUUUGCCUCAUAAUCUGCAACAUUAACAAACGUGCUUUUUGGUAGAAGCUAGGUUGGUACACUCUUCACGAGUAUGAGUGAGCUUUUGUCACCAAGUUGUAGUCUUGUCCCUUCAAAAUCGUGGGUUGUUGUUGUUGACUCUGCAACUUGGUGCGGUUGGUAUUAUUGGAAUUGUAACAAGGGUGCAUGUGGGGUUUCCUUUGGAUCCUAUGUUUCUUAAAGGGUUUUGUUGUAACCUUUUGAUUGUUUGAGUUUUUUGUGAAAUUGUUCUUCAUCAUCAUCUUGACUCAAUAGAACAGUUCUUUUGUGUGGAGAUUUUGUAAUUGUAGGUGUUGCCAUAGAAAUGGAGAAAGGAAAGAAAUCAAUGGAGAUGGAUUUUUUCUCAGAAUAUGGCGACGCCAACAGGUAUAAAAUUCAAGAAGUAAUUGGAAAAGGUAGUUAUGGUGUUGUUUGUUCGGCCGUCGACACUCUUACUGGUGAAAAGGUUGCGAUAAAAAAGGUUCAUGGUAUCUUUGAUCAUAUAUCUGAUGCUGCACGUAUUCUUCGUGAGAUAAAGCUGCUUCGACUUCUUCGACAUCCUGAUAUCGUUGAAAUUAAACACAUUAUGUUGCCUCCUUCUAGCAGGGAAUUCAAAGAUAUUUAUGUUGUUUUUGAGCUCUUGGAGUCUGAUCUGCAUCAAGUCAUUAAAGCGAAUGCCAACUUAACGAAAGAGCACUAUCAGUUUUUUCUUUAUCAGUUACUUCGAGCAUUGAAGUAUAUUCACACUGCUAAUGUCUAUCAUCGAGACCUGAAGCCAAAGAAUAUACUGGCCAAUGCAAACUGCAAACUUAAAAUCUGUGAUUUUGGGUUAGCUAGAGUUGCUUUCAAUGACACUCCAACAACUGUAUUUUGGACGGAUUAUGUUGCUACAAGGUGGUAUAGAGCACCAGAGCUCUGUGGAUCAUUUUACUCAAAGUAUACUCCGGCAAUUGAUAUUUGGAGUAUAGGAUGCAUCUUUGCUGAAGUAUUAAUAGGAAAACCACUUUUUCCUGGAAAAAGUGUUGUCCAUCAGUUGGAUCUGAUCACAGAUCUUCUAGGGACCCCCUCACUGGAUACUAUAUCUCGGGUACGUAAUGAUAAAGCAAGGAGAUACCUAACUAGUAUGAGGAAAAAGCAGCCUGUACCAUUUGCACAAAAAUUUCCUAAUGCGGAUCCUUUAUCACUACGGCUACUGAAAAGGUUGCUCGCCUUUGAUCCAAAAGACCGGCCUACUGCUGAAGAGGCAUUAGCUGAUCCUUACUUCAAGGGACUCGCAAAAAUUGAGAGGGAACCGUCGUGCCAGCCCAUUACACAUUUGGAGUUUGAAUUCGAAAAGAAAAGAGUAACAAAGGGAGAAAUUCGAGAGUUAAUUUUCCAUGAGAUUUUAGAGUACCAUCCUCAACUAAAUGAUGGAACAGAGAGAACUAAUUUUCUUUAUCCAAGUGCUGUUGAUCAAUUCGAAAAGCAGUUCACCCAUCUUGAGGAAAAUGGUGGUAAAAGUGAUCCAGUUGUGCCACUUGAAAGAAAACAUGCAUCGCUUCCCAGGUCAACAAUUGUACAUUCAAAUAUGACACCUCAAAAAGAGCAGUCAAAUAUUGACUCCUGCAAAAACCGGCAAACAACUGAGGAAUAUAAUACAAAUUCCAGAGAUACGGAAUCCAGCGGCAUUCGAGGACUACAAAGAAUUCCACUUGAUUGGCCAAUCCGGACAAAAAUUGAGGACUUUUAAGAAAACAUGGGGGAGAAAAGAAGCUCACUAUCAGUAAUCAUUACUCUUAACGCCAAUAUUUUCAGAUACACCUGGUAAAGUUGUUAGACCAGUUGUUGAAUAUGAGCGUGGGAGUUUUGUCAAUGAUGCAUAUGAUUCCAAAACAUCAAUGAGAGGCAAAACUUACCCAACAAUGUUGAAUCAAGGCCGAAAUAGCAUCAGAUUUAACCAUAAGUAUUGAUACCAACCAAAACGAAGAAGAGCAAACAAAGAUGAACAAGACGAUUGAAUAGCCAUCGACAUGGACAAAACUUGAUGCAAUCUAAGGCUCAGCAUUAUGGUGAGAUUUAAGUGGUGCCAGCCACAGCUCAUGCAAAAGAUGGACAUGUUCAUGACAAGGAUCUUCUAGAAGUUUUUCUUGUGAAUAGUUCGACAGGGUCGGGAUCCUCUAACGGUGCGUUGUGUAAAUUGACAGGGUUGAGAUCCUCUCCAUUUAACACAAUGAAUAUAAUCACUAUGUCUAUUUCUCUCAAAAUGAAAAUGUUCAUUAAAAAUAGCAUAUCUUAACUCAAAAUGACAUGAACUAGUGCUUUCUCUUAAAGAGCCAGCUUUCUCUUGUCAUAUACUGUAAGCUUUGGUUACAGCUAUCAAUAAACUGUAGUUAGUUCUAAACUUAA